UUGUGGAGUCGUGGAAAAAUGUAGAAUAUGAACUCAUCAAUCCUCGUACUUCACAACA
rnacentral:pre_miRNA from 1 species